rnacentral:rRNA from 1 species
UACGUAGGGUGCAAGCGUUGUCCGGAAUUAUUGGGCGUAAAGAGCUCGUAGGCGGUUUGUCGCGUCUGCUGUGAAAACCCGAGGCUCAACCUCGGGCCUGCAGUGGGUACGGGCAGACUAGAGUGCGGUAGGGGAGAUUGGAAUUCCUGGUGUAGCGGUGGAAUGCGCAGAUAUCAGGAGGAACACCAACGGCGAAGGCAGAUCUCUGGGCCGUAACUGACGCUGAGGAGCGAAAGCAUGGGGAGCGAACAGG